AGGGGCGUUCGUUAACGGCUAAACGGGUCGCCUCCAAAGCGACUCCUGGGGGUUCGAAUCCCUCCGCCCCUG
rnacentral:tRNA from 1 species